rnacentral:rRNA from 1 species
GGGCGUAAAGAGCUCGUAGGUGGUUUGUCGCGUUGUUCGUGAAAUCUCACGGCUUAACUGUGAGCGUGCGGGCGAUACGGGCAGACUUGAGUACUGCAGGGGAGACUGGAAUUCCUGGUGUAGCGGUGGAAUGCGCAGAUAUCAGGAGGAACACCGGUGGCGAAGGCGGGUCUCUGGGCAGUAACUGACGCUGAGGAGCGAAAGCGUGGGGAGCGAACAGGAUUAGAUACCCUGGUAGUCCACGCCGUAAACGGUGGGUACUAGGUGUGGGUUUCCUUCCUUGGGAUCCGUGCCGUAGCUAACGCAUUAAGUACCCCGCCUGGGGAGUACGGCCGCAAGGCUAAAACUCAAAGAAAUUGACGGGGGCCCGCACAAGCGGCGGAGCAUGUGGAUUAAUUCGAUGCAACGCGAAGAACCUUACCUGGGUUUGACAUGCACAGGACGCCGGCAGAGAUGUCGGUUCCCUUGUGGCCUGUGUGCAGGUGGUGCAUGGCUGUCGUCAGCUCGUGUCGUGAGAUGUUGGGUUAAGUCCCGCAACGAGCGCAACCCUUGUCUCAUGUUGCCAGCGGGUAAUGCCGGGGACUCGUGAGAGACUGCCGGGGUCAACUCGGAGGAAGGUGGGGAUGACGUCAAGUCAUCAUGCCCCUUAUGUCCAGGGCUUCACACAUGCUACAAUGGCCGGUACAAAGGACUGCGAUGCCGCGAGGUUAAGCGAAUCCUUUUAAAGCCGGUCUCAGUUCGGAUCGGGGUCUGCAACUCGACCCCGUGAAGUCGGAGUCGCUAGUA